rnacentral:rRNA from 1 species
GAUGAACGCUGGCGGCGUGCCUAAUACAUGCAAGUCGAGCGAACGGACGAGAAGCUUGCUUCUCUGAUGUUAGCGGCGGACGGGUGAGUAACACGUGGAUAACCUACCUAUAAGACUGGGAUAACUUCGGGAAACCGGAGCUAAUACCGGAUAAUAUUUUGAACCGCAUGGUUCAAAAGUGAAAGACGGUCUUGCUGUUACUUAUAGAUGGAUCCGCGCUGCAUUAGCUAGUUGGUAAGGUAACGGCUUACCAAGGCAACGAUGCAUAGCCGACCUGAGAGGGUGAUCGGCCACACUGGAACUGAGACACGGUCCAGACUCCUACGGGAGGCAGCAGUAGGGAAUCUUCCGCAAUGGGCGAAAGCCUGACGGAGCAACGCCGCGUGAGUGAUGAAGGUCUUCGGAUCGUAAAACUCUGUUAUUAGGGAAGAACAUAUGUGUAAGUAAAUGUGCACAUCUUGACGGUACCUAAUCAGAAAGCCACGGCUAACUACGUG